rnacentral:rRNA from 1 species
GAUGAACGCUGGCGGCGUGCCUAAUACAUGCAAGUCGAGCGAACAGACGAGGAGCUUGCUCCUCUGACGUUAGCGGCGGACGGGUGAGUAACACGUGGAUAACCUACCUAUAAGACUGGGAUAACUUCGGGAAACCGGAGCUAAUACCGGAUAAUAUAUUGAACCGCAUGGUUCAAUAGUGAAAGACGGUUUUGCUGUCACUUAUAGAUGGAUCCGCGCCGCAUUAGCUAGUUGGUAAGGUAACGGCUUACCAAGGCAACGAUGCGUAGCCGACCUGAGGGUGAUCGGCCACACUGGAACUGAGACACGGUCCAGACUCCUACGGGAGGCAGCAGUAGGGAAUCUUCCGCAAUGGGCGAAAGCUUGACGGAGCAACGCCGCGUGAGUGAUGAAGGUCUUCGGAUCGUAAAACUCUGUUAUUAGGGAAGAACAAAUGUGUAAGUAACUAUGCACGUCUUGACGGUACCUAAUCAGAAAGCCACGGCUAACUACGUG